rnacentral:rRNA from 1 species
AGAGCGAACGCUGGCGGCAGGCCUAACACAUGCAAGUCGAACGGAUCCUUCGGGAUUAGUGGCGGACGGGUGAGUAACACGUGGGAACGUGCCUUUGGUUCGGAACAACUCAGGGAAACUUGAGCUAAUACCGGAUGUGCCCUUCGGGGGAAAGAUUUAUCGCCAUUAGAGCGGCCCGCGUCUGAUUAGCUAGUUGGUGAGGUAAAGGCUCACCAAGGCUACGAUCAGUAGCUGGUCUGAGAGGAUGAUCAGCCACACUGGGACUGAGACACGGCCCAGACUCCUACGGGAGGCAGCAGUGGGAAUCUUGCGCAAUGGGCGAAAGCCUGACGCAGCCAUGCCGCGUGAAUGAUGAAGGUCUUAGGAUUGUAAAAUUCUUUCAGCAGGGACGAUAAUGACGGUACCUGCAGAAGAACGCCCGGCUAACUUCGUGCCAGCAGCCGC